GUAAUGAUGAAACUCCUGCUCUGGUCCGAGCUACCGGUGAACAGCGCCCAGCGGGCCGGGCCCCAACCUCGCUCCUGAGCCUGAACAUCCCCCCAACCCCGCCGUGAGAAUUCAGCGAAGAGUAAAAGCUGGAAAAAGUUGCGUGUCUCAGGCUAAGCAGAAGAAAGUGGGGUGACGGCUCCCCCGCUAGGAAGAGAGAUGCCCUUAGGGAGCCCCCUGAUGGAAGAGCUCUCCGCUUAAGAAGGUCACCACUCCCUUACACUCAG
rnacentral:lncRNA from 1 species